GGAGUAGUUGGAAAGAGAAUUGAUCUCACCGCACCCCCGCCGUCCUCGAAGCUCGGCCACCUCUCCGACUCCUUCAAGCUCGAGCACCAGUUCCUCUGAGUCCCCUUCGAGCACUACAAGAAGACGAUCCGCGCCAACCACCGCAUCACCGAGAAGGAGAUGUCCGCCGUCAUCAACGACGCCGUCAGUCACCUCAAUUCCCUCGUCUCCAGGCUCCAAGGCCUCAAACGAAAGGAAGAGGGGAGCAAGACUGAGCACUUACAGGUGCAGAGGUGCCGGGCGAGGCUGGACCAUUUAGAAUGAGCAGAUGUGGAGAAUUUGUCAGAAUGGAACAAUGUGAGGUUGAACCGGAUCCUUGUGGACUAUAUGUUGAGGAUGUCUUAUUAUGAUAAUGCGGUGAGGUGAAGAUGGCCGAAAGCCAAAAUAUUCAGGAACUGCAGUUUGGAGCCACUGCCUCAAAAGUUUUAUGAGUCAUAUUUGAAGAGGUGCCUUAGUUUACAGUUCAACUCUCACUGAAAGAGUGUUCAUUCUGGUUGAAGGGUA